UACGUAGGGUGCGAGCGUUAAUCGGAAUUACUGGGCGUAAAGCGUGCGCAGGCGGUUUUGUAAGCCAGGUGUGAAAUCCCCGGGCUCAACCUGGGAAUGGGCAUUUGGGACUGGCAAGGCUGGAGUGCGGCAGAGGAGACUGGAAUUCCUGGUGUAGCAGUGAAAUGCGUAGAUAUCAGGAGGAACACCGAUGGCGAAGGCAGGUCUCUGGGCUGACACUGACGCUCAUGCACGAAAGCGUGGGGAGCAAACAGG
rnacentral:rRNA from 1 species